AAUUCUUUAUGCAAGUUAGAAAUGAGGCAGCCAAUGAUUUGCUGACGUGGGAAUUAUUUGUAAAUAUCAUGAAUUUCGUGAUAUAUUCAUGGAGCACUCCUGAAUCAGCAAAUUAUUUGCUGAAUUGUUCAGAAAAGCUGCCAGCCAUGAAUUAUUCAGCAUUUUUUUUCCUAAGAAGUUCCACAAAUUUUGUGAUUAUGGUUUGAACUUUGAAGCAUGUACAUGAAUACAUGCAAAAAGACUUUUGUACAUAAUGGUGAUCCUAAUUGGAAAAAGUCUUUUGCUUUAUGUUUCUGAUGAAUUACAUAUAAUUUCCUAAUUGGAGAAAGUCUUUUGCUUUACAUAUAAUUGAAUCAUCAACCAACCAAAACAACGAAUGAAUCAGCAAGAAUAAUUAGGGCUGCCAAGUAGCACUCAAGAAGCACAAAAAUGUUUGAAAUAUGUAUCAUUUUGAUAUAGGAGAAUCACCAAAUUCAAUGUGGACCACUUUGGUCACUACAAGCAAGGCUAGAUAGGGUUCAGGA
rnacentral:lncRNA from 1 species